CAAUGAAUAUUAUUAUUAGUGUCGUUUCACUUUCGUUUUUAAGGUUGUUUCUAGACUUUUCUAUACGGGGUUAUAUAUUCCACACAGUCUUUCAAGCAAGGUCUUCAAGCAAAUUAGAGCUGAUAUAUUUUUAGUUUCAUGAAGAAGUGAUGUUGUUCAUUGUUUAAAAACUAAAAUAAAAAUUAAAAUAAUCUUUUGUUUGUUGUUGGUUGUUUUUAUUUUUCUAAUUUUUAUAACCUGUUUUUAUUUUGUAGAAGAAGUUAUGACUAAAAUGAUGGAGCAGUUAAGAGGAUCUGAUGGCUUUUUUAAAAAAAUAAUAAGAAAUAGAAAAAUUGAAAAAAAUUCUUAUGGAAUUUGUCAAAGGAAUGUUGCGUUAGGCUUCAU
rnacentral:lncRNA from 1 species